GUGAAUCAUCGAGUCUUUUGAACGCACAUUGCGCCUUCCGGUAUUCCGGGAGGCAUGCCUGUUCGAGCGUCAUUAAAAACCACUCAAGCGACUUUGCUUGGUUAUGGAGGAAGAGUUGUCGGCAACGGCGUCUCCCCUUCGAAAUCAAUAGGCGGAAAGCUCCAUGAUGCUCAGCGUAGUAAAUCUAUAUUUCGCUUGGAACAUGAGGUGCUCCUGUGCCCUUCAAACCCCCAAUUUUUUUCUUAGGUUGACCUCCGGAUUCAGGUAGGGAUACCCGCUGAACUUAAGCAUAUCAAUAAGCGGAGG
rnacentral:rRNA from 1 species